rnacentral:rRNA from 1 species
AGUGAACGCUGGCGGUAGGCCUAACACAUGCAAGUCGAACGGCAGCACAGUAAGAGCUUGCUCUUACGGGUGGCGAGUGGCGGACGGGUGAGGAAUACAUCGGAAUCUACUUUUUCGUGGGGGAUAACGUAGGGAAACUUACGCUAAUACCGCAUACGACCUACGGGUGAAAGCAGGGGAUCUUCGGACCUUGCGCGAUUGAAUGAGCCGAUGUCGGAUUAGCUAGUUGGCGGGGUAAAGGCCCACCAAGGCGACGAUCCGUAGCUGGUCUGAGAGGAUGAGCAGCAGCACGGGAACGGAGACACGGUCCAGACUCCUACGGGAGGCAGCGGUGGGGAAUGUGGGACAAGGGGCGCAAGCCUGAUCCAGCCAUCCCGGGGGGGUAAAGAGGGCCUUGGGUUUGAAAGGCCUUUUUGUGGGAAAAAAAAAGAAGCAGGUAAAUCCCCCGUUGUUCGGAGGGUCCCAAAAAAAAAAGCCCCGGCUAACUUCGUC